AUUUAUAUAGUUUAAAAAAAACAAUACAUUUUCAUUGUAUAAAUAAUAUAAAUUAUAUUUAUAAAUA
rnacentral:tRNA from 1 species